rnacentral:rRNA from 1 species
AAUCAACGCUGGCGGCGUGCCUCAGACAUGCAAGUCGAACGAUUAAGACUCUCUUCGGAGAGUGCAUAAAGUGGCGCACGGGUGAGUAACACGUAAGUAAUCUACCCUCGAGUGGGAAUAACGUCCGGAACGGACGCUAAUACCGCAUAAUGCAGCGGCACCGCAAGGUGACAGUUGUUAAAGAUUUAUCGCUUGAGGAGGAGCUUGCGGCAGAUUAGCAGUUGGUAAGGUAAUGGCUUACCAAGGCUACGAUCUGUAACCGGUCUAAGAGGACGGUCGGUCACACUGACACUGAAUAACGGGUCAGACUCCUACGGGAGGCAGCAGUCGGGAAUUUUGGGCAAUGGGCGAAAGCCUGACCCAGCAACGCCGCGUGAAGGAUG